UCAGACGAUGCGUCAUGCAUAUCAAUAAGCGGAGGAAAAGAAGCUAACAAGGAUUCCCUUAGUAACGGCGAGUGAAGCGGGAAGAGCUCAAAUUUGAAAUCUUCAAGGUUUUACCUUGACGAAUUGUAGUUUAAAGAAGUGUUUUCUGUUGAAGUUUUGGUAAAAGUUCUUUGGAAUAGGACAUCAUAGAGGGUGAGAAUCCCGUAUUUGACCAUUACUUUCAGCUUUGUGAUACACUUUCAAAGAGUCGGAUUGUUUGGGAAUGCAGUCCAAAAUGGGUGGUAAAUUUCAUCUAAAGCUAAAUAUUGGCGAGAGACCGAUAGCGAACAAGUACCGUGAGGGAAAGAUGAAAAGAACUUUGAAAAGAGAGUUAAACAGUACGUGAAAUUGUCAAAAGGGAAGCGUUUGACACCAGUGUUGUUUUUCUGAAAAUCAAUUAAAGAACUGUUUAUGCUAAGCUGUUUAGACUUUAUCAGCUAUCUGUUUAGUUUUAGGCUUUUCUUUAAUGCACUUUUCAGUUAACAAGUCAACAUCAAUUUCUUUUGCUGUAAAAAAGCUUGAGGAAGGUGGCUUGAGAUUCGUCUUAAGUGUUUAUAGCCUCUUGCCUAUGCAGUCGGAGAGAUUGAGGUCUGCAGCGUAGAUCCUUCGGGGCUAAAUGCAUUUGUGCUAAGUUAUAGCAUUUUAUAGACAACUUGUUGACUAUGAUUUGUCUUGUAGCUUACUCGCUUAUGUUAUUUUACCUACGCUUAGGAUGUUGACUGAUAUGUAGUCGUA
rnacentral:rRNA from 1 species